UGAAAGUAAACUUUUGGUAAGUGAUUUAUUUACAAUAAAUUUUAUUUUGUUCAAAUCAAAGCUUUUAA
rnacentral:tRNA from 1 species